AGAGUUUGAUCAUGGCUCAGGAUGAACGCUAGCUACAGGCUUAACACAUGCAAGUCGGAGGGGAAACGACAUUUUCGAAGCUUGUCUUUUGAUGGGCGUCGACCGGCGCACGGGUGAGUAACGCGUAUCCAACCUGCCCACCACUUGGGGAUAACCUUGCGAAAGUAAGACUAAUACCCAAUGAUAUCUCUAGAAGACAUCUGAAAGAGAUUAAAGAUUUAUCGGUGAUGGAUGGGGAUGCGUCUGAUUAGCUUGUUGGCGGGGUAACGGCCCACCAAGGCAACGAUCAGUAGGGGUUCUGAGAGGAAGGUCCCCCACAUUGGAACUGAGACACGGUCCAAACUCCUACGGGAGGCAGCA
rnacentral:rRNA from 1 species